UCCCAGUGAGGAAACACUCGCAUGUCUUACCUCCUGUCCUCGUCCCAGAGCCUGUGAAGGUGAACCCACUGGGGCGGCUGGGGGAGAAGAGGAAGGUUUGUUCCAGAAGGAACUGUCUGAGGGAU